rnacentral:rRNA from 1 species
ACUCCUACGGGAGGCAGCAGUGGGAAUUUUGGACAAUGGGCGCAAGCCUGAUCCAGCAAUACCGCGUGCAGGAAGAAGGCCUUCGGGUUGUAAACUGCUUUUGUACGGAACGAAAAGGUCUUGGUUAAUACCUGGGGCUCAUGACGGUACCGUAAGAAUAAGCACCGGCUAACUACGUGCCAGCAGCCGCGGUAAUACGUAGGGUGCGAGCGUUAAUCGGAAUUACUGGGCGUAAAGCGUGCGCAGGCGGUUAUGUAAGACAGGUGUGAAAUCCCCGAGCUCAACUUGGGAAUUGCACUUGUGACUGCAUAACUAGAGUGCGGCAGAGGGGAUGGAAUUCCGCGUGUAGCAGUGAAAUGCGUAGAUAUGCGGAGGAACACCGAUGGCGAAGGCAAUCCCCUGGCCUGCACUGACGCUCAUGCACGAAAGCGUGGGGAGCAAACAGGAUUAGAUACCCUGGUAGGUCAGU